GCCAUGGCCUAAAUUCUAAUGAUGAAUUUUCCCACCAGGUAUAAUGGACCAAGAGCAAAAUCGAACAACAAAACAUGAAGGAUCAGUGUUCCGUGCACUCGCUGGCUCAAUUGGAAGAAACCGUUUCACAAUCAAGCCCCAGCACAACCACCUAGCUCGCCCGCUCGCCAGCAGCUGACGGGGUGUUUAAGGGAGACGAAUGAGCGCUGACCUUAUCAGACUAGACCAGCAGACCAGUGAUGCUCAAGGUUAAGUGCACCAGAAUUCUUGCUUGACUGAUGGCAAGUGACAACUGCAGCAGGAGAGCAGAGCCAAACCCCACAGAAAGUCUAAAGGAGCAAUUACAGGACCACAGAAGUUGCAAC